CACCUGUAACCAUGCCGAACACAGAAGUUAAGCUUCUUAGCGCCGAUUGUAGUGAAGGGUUUCCCUUUGUGAGAGUAGGACGUCGCCACGC
rnacentral:rRNA from 1 species